rnacentral:rRNA from 1 species
UACGGGGGGGGCAAGCGUUGUUCGGAAUUACUGGGCGUAAAGGGCUCGUAGGCGGCCAACUAAGUCAGACGUGAAAUCCCUCGGCUUAACCGGGGAACUGCGUCUGAUACUGGAUGGCUUGAAUCCGGGAGAGGGAUGCGGAAUUCCAGGUGUAGCGGUGAAAUGCGUAGAUAUUGGGAGGAACACCAGUGGCGAAGGCGGCUACCUGGACCGGUUCUGACGCUGAGGCGCGAAAGCGUGGGUAGCAAACAGG